rnacentral:rRNA from 1 species
AAUUUAAAAUUAUUUAUAUUUAAAAUGGUUUUAAUAAUUUAAGAAAAAUAAUUUUUAUUUCUUGACUUGGUGUAAUUUUUAAUUAAUCAUUGUUUAAUAAUUAUAAAAUAAAGUACUGUAAAGGAAAUUUGAAAUAUUUGAAAAUUUUAUUAGAUUAAAGUAGUUAUAAAUCAUCUUACCUUGUGUUUCAGGGUUAUUUUAUUUUAUUGUGUUUAAACUAAAAUCUCGAAAUAAAAAGAUCUAUAAUUUUGAUUAAUUUUACAUAUUAAAUAAUUUUAUAACAUAAUUAUAGUUGUGAAAUGUUAUUCGAUUUUUAUGAUAUCUAGUUAUUGAAAAAUAAAAUUAAAUUUUAUAUUUUUAUGUUAAUAAAUAUAAAAAUAUUAAGAAAAGGAGGGUAUAGCUUCUUUUUCUAUAAUGAUUAUUUAAUAGUAAUGUUAAUUUUUUUUCUUAAAUUUAGGCUUAAAAGUAGCCAUAUUAUUAAAGUGUUUUAACUAAUACUAAAUUAAUUAUUAUUUUUAUUACUUUAAUUAUUUAUUUGAUAAUAAUAUUGAAUUUUUUCUUAUAAAUUAAAUUGGAUUAAUUAGUAGAUACAUUUGUUUUUAAGUAUAUUUAAAUAUUUAAAAUAUAUUUUAAAUUUAAAAUUUUUUUAAGGAACUCGACAACAUUUAUUUUUGCCUGUUUAUCAAAAACAUGUCUUUAUGUAAUAUUUAUAAAGUCUGGCCUGCCCACUGAAUAUUUUAAAGGGCCGCGGUAUCUUGACCGUGCAAAGGUAGCAUAGUCAUUUGUCUUUUAAUUGGAGGCUUGUAUGAAUGGUCGCACAAAAAAUAAUUUGUCUUAAUUAAAUAUAUUGAAUUUAACUUUUAAGUAAAAAGGCUUAAAUAAAUUAAAGUGACGAUAAGACCCUAUAAAACUUUAUAAUUUAUACUAAAAAAAUAUAUUAGUUAUUUAAAAUUUUUUUGUGGAUUUUAUUUUAUUGGGGCGAUAAAAAUAAAAAUAGUAACUGUUUUUAAAAUUUAAAUGAUAAUUGUCAGUUUUAUUAAAUGAUCCUUUAUUAAAGAUUAUAAGAUUAAGUUACUUUAGGGAUAACAGCGUAAUUUUCUUUGAGAGCUCUUAUCUACAAGAAAGAUUGCGACCUCGAUGUUGAAUUAAAAUUUCUUUAAGGUGUAGCAGCUUUAAUAGAAGGUCUGUUCGACCUUUAAAUUUUUACAUGAUUUGAGUUCAGACCGGUGUGAGCCAGGUCGGUUUCUAUCUUUUAAUUUAAUAUAAACUAUUCUAGUACGAAAGGAUUGAGUAGUUAGAAAAUUUCUUUAAUAGUUGAUAAACAAUAAAG